rnacentral:misc_RNA from 1 species
AGUAACUAUAUAUAUGUUAUAUAUUAUGGUUCAAACUUAAAAGGGAGGAAGUUGUUCUCAUUUUAUAUAUAUUUCUUCCAAAUAUAGAUCAAUCCUAGCCAUUAGAUUGACCUAAAUCAAGGGUCCUAAUUAAUCUCACAACCCUUUUUCCCAACUAACACAAGAAAUAAAAUAAAUUAAGACAAUUUCUAUUUUUUUUCUUUUAUCUCUGCUGUUCCAUCAUAAG